rnacentral:rRNA from 1 species
AGCGAACGCUGGCGGCAGGCUUAACACAUGCAAGUCGAGCGGGCAUCUUCGGAUGUCAGCGGCAGACGGGUGAGUAACACGUGGGAACGUACCCUUGGGUUCGGAACAACUCUGGGAAACUGGAGCUAAUACCGGAUACGCCCUUAUGGGGUAAGGUUUACUGCCGAAGGGUCGGCCCGCGACUGAUUAGCUUGUUGGUGGGGUAACGGCAUACCAAGGCGACGAUCAGUAGCUGGUCUGAGAGGAUGAUCAGCCACACUGGGGCUGAGACACGGCCCAGACUCCUACGGGAGGCAGGAGUGGGGAAUAUAGGACAAUGGGCGCAAGCCUGAUCCAGCCAUGCCGGGUGAGUGAUGAAGGCCUUAGGGUUGUAAAGCUCUUUUGUCCGGGACGAUAAUGACGGUACCGGAAGAAUAAGCCCCGGCUAACUUCGUG